UGCGGAGGAUCAUUAAAAAUGUAGAAUUUAUCAUUCUCAAACCCACUCUGCGUACUCUUACACGUUGCUUCCGUGGGCAGUAGGAGUCAAAUCCUGCGCCCGCCCACAAGGUGGACCCACGGGAGAUAAACAAACAUCCGCCUCAUGUGAUCUCAGUCUGAUUAUGUUUAUUCUUUAAACGUUAAAACUUUCAACAACGGAUCUCUUGGUUCUCGCAUCGAUGAAGAACGCAGCGAAAUGCGAUAAGUAGUGUGAAUUGCAGAAUUCAGUGAAUCAUCGAAUCUUUGAACGCACAUUGCGCCUACUGGUAUUCCGGUAGGCAUGCCUGUUCGAGCGUCAUCAAAACCCUCAUGCUUGGAUUUAUUCACAGCGUGGUCUUGGAGUUGGAGUCACCUUGAGUGUCCCCGUUCCGAAAUACAAUGGCGAAGUUAUUUGUAUCAACAAGCGUAGUAAUCAACAUUAUGUUUCGCUAUUAUACAAGUGGUCUUCCGCCCUCAACCCCCAAAUCUAUCAUUUUGACCUCGGAUCAGGUAGGGAUACCCGCUGAACUUAAGCAUAUCAAUAAGCGGAGGAAAAGAAACCAACAGGGAUUGCCUUAGUAACUGCGAGUGAAGCGGCAAAAGCUCAAAUUUGAAAUCUGGCACCUUCGGUGUCCGAGUUGUAAUUUGGAGAGACAUCUUCGGGAUGAACGCUGUCCUAAGUUCCUUGGAACAGGACGUCACAGAGGGUGAGAAUCCCGUAUGUGGAUGGCUGUUUCGUUCCAUGUGAAGUGUCUUCGACGAGUCGAGUUGUUUGGGAAUGCAGCUCAAAAUGGGUGGUAAAUGUCAUCUAAAGCUAAAUAUUGGCGAGAGACCGAUAGCGCACAAGUAGAGUGAUCGAAAGAUGAAAAGCACUUUGAAAAGAGAGUUAAAAAGUACGUGAAAUUGUUGAAAGGGAAGCGCUUGAGACCAGACUCAAUCUGUGGUGAUCAGCAGUGCUUCUGCGCUGUGCACUUGCCACUCUUUGGGGCAGCAUCGGUUUGGAUGGUGGGAUAAAGACCUGAGGAACGUAGCUCUCUUCGGGGAGUGUUAUAGCCUCGGGUGUAAUGCCACCUAUCCAGACCGAGGACCGCG
rnacentral:rRNA from 1 species